rnacentral:rRNA from 1 species
UACGUAGGUGGCAAGCGUUAUCCGGAUUUAUUGGGCGUAAAGGGAACGCAGGCAGUCUUUUAAGUCUGAUGUGAAAGCCUUCGGCUUAACCGGAGUAGUGCAUUGGAAACUGGGAGACUUGAGUGCAGAAGAGGAGAGCGGAACUCCGAGUGUAGCGGUGAAAUGCGUAGAUAUUCGGAGGAACACCGGUGGCGAAGGCGGCCAACUGGGCUUUAACUGACGCUGAGGCUCGAAAGUGUGGGGAGCAAACAGG